rnacentral:rRNA from 1 species
AGAUUGAACGCUGGCGGAAUGCUUUACACAUGCAAGUCGAGCGGCAGCGCGGGGCAACCUGGCGGCGAGCGGCGAACGGGUGAGUAAUGCAUCGGAACAUGUCCAUUCGUGGGGGAUAGCCCGGCGAAAGCCGGAUUAAUACCGCAUACGCCCUUAGGGGGAAAGCCGGGGACCGCAAGGCCUGGCGCGAAUGGGUUGGCCGAUGCCCGAUUAGCUAGUUGGCGGGUAAUGGCCCACAAGGCGAUGAUCGGUAGCUGGUCUGAGAGGAUGAUCAGCCACACUGGGACUGAGACACGGCCCAGACUCCUACGGGAGGCAGCAGUGGGGAAUUUGGACAAUGGGGGCAACCCUGAUCCAGCCAUUCCGCGUGAGUGAAGAAGGCUUCGGGUUGUAAGCUCUUUGUCGUAACGAAACGGUUGUGGUGAUAGCACGACUACUGACGUACCGGAAGAAUAAGCGACCGGACAACGUACGUGACCAGCACGCGCCGUAAUC